rnacentral:rRNA from 1 species
AGGGCACCACCAGGAGUGGAGCCUGCGGCUUAAUUUGACUCAACACGGGGAAACUCACCAGGUCCAGACACAAUAAGGAUUGACAGAUUGAGAGCUCUUUCUUGAUUUUGUGGGUGGUGGUGCAUGGCCGUUCUUAGUUGGUGGAGUGAUUUGUCUGCUUAAUUGCGAUAACGAACGAGACCUUAACCUGCUAAAUAGUGGAGCCAGCGACUUUAGCUGGAGGAUCCACUUCUUAGAGGGACCAUCGGUGUCAAGCCGAAGGAAGUUUGAGGCA